rnacentral:rRNA from 1 species
AAUCCACUCGCCUAUCGAGUGGGCGUCCGGCGGAAACUACAGGGCUUGGGACCGGAAGACUUGAGGGGUACGUCUGGGGUAGGAGUGAAAUCCUGUAAUCCUGGACGGACCGCCGAUGGCGAAAGCACCUCAAGACGACGGAUCCGACAGUGAGGGACGAAAGCUAGGGUCUCGAACCGGAUUAGAUACCCGGGUAGUCC